rnacentral:rRNA from 1 species
AUGGGAGGAGGGGGAGGAGGAAGAGGCGAUCGCCAAGCAGAGCCGCUGCUUCGGAAGCUCUCAGAAUCCUCUUCUGAUAAUUCCUCCGAGGAGCAUCCGGUGAAAAGAACCGGCACGGUAUGGACGGCGAUGGCGCACGUCAUCACGGCGGUGAUAGGCUCCGGCGUGCUGUCGCUGGCGUGGAGCGUGGCGCAGCUCGGCUGGGUCGGGGGGCCGGCGGCCAUGGUGCUCUUCGCCGGGGUGACCGUGGUGCAGUCCUCCCUGCUCGCCGACUGCUACAUCUCCCGCGACCCGGAGCGCGGCGCCGCCGUCAGGAACAGGUCUUACGUCGACGCCGUCAGGCUCUACCUAGGCAAGAAGAGCCAGAUGUUGAGCGGGUUUUUCCUCGGCUUCAGCCUGUUUGGGAACAGUGUGGUGUACACUCUCACCGCGGCCGCUAGCAUGAGGGCGAUUGAGAGAGCCAACUGCUACCACAGGGAAGGCGAAGGCGCGCCGUGCUGCGCCGCCGGCGCCGGCGGGUCAUCGGAAGCCUACUACAUGCUCCUGUUCGGCCUGGCGCAGGUGGCGCUGUCGCAGAUACCGGACUUCCACAGCAUGGCGUGGCUCUCCGUCUUCGCCGCCGUCAUGUCCUUCUCCUACUCCUUCAUCGGCCUCGGCCUCGGCGCGGCCAAAGUGAUCGAGAACGGAGUGAUCAAGGGGGCGAUCGGAGGCGUUUCCCUGGUGUCCCCGGCGCAGAAGGUGUGGCGCGUGGCGCAGGCCCUCGGCGACAUCGCCUUCGCCUACCCGUUCUCCCUGGUGCUGCUGGAGAUCGAGGACACGCUGAGGUCGCCGCCGGCGGAGAGCGAGACGAUGAAGGCGGCGUCGAGGGCGAGCAUCGCGGUCACCACCUUCUUCUACCUCGGCUGCGGGUGCUUCGGCUACGCGGCGUUCGGGGACGGCACCCCAGGGAACCUCCUCACCGGCUUCGGGGGGCCCUACUGGCUCGUCGGCCUCGCCAACCUCUGCGUCGUCCUCCACCUCCUCGGCGGCUACCAGGUGUACGCGCAGCCCAUGUUCGCGCUCGUGGAGCGGCGGUUCGGCGCCGGCGUCGUCGACGCGGAGGUGCCGCUGCUCGGGCGCGUGAGCGUGUCCAGGCUGUGCUUCCGCACGGCGAACGUGGCGGCGGCGACGGCGGUGGCCGUGUGGUUCCCCUACUUCAACCAGGUGGUGGGGCUCAUCGGCGCCUUCACCUUCUGGCCGCUGGCCAUCCACUUCCCCGUCCAGAUGUACCUCGCGCAGGGCAAGGUGGCGCCGUGGACGGGGCGGUGGCUCGCCAUCCAGGCCUUCAGCGCCGGCUGCCUGGUCGCCUGCGGCUUCGCCUCCGUUGGCUCUGCCAUGGGGGUGUUCGGCCCCGAGAGAAGCUAG